UGGGGGAGAGAGAGAGCGAGGAUAUGGAGGGAGAGGAGGUGGAGGGAGAGGAGGUAAAGGGAGAGGACGUGUACGGAGAGAGGGAGAGAAGGUAGAGGGAGAGAAGGUAGAGGGAGAGAAGGUGGAGGGAGAGAAGGUGGAGGGAGAGAGGGAGAGAAGGUGGAGGGAGAGAAGGUGGAGGGAGAGAAGGUGGAGGGAGAGAGGGAGAGGAGGUGGAGGGAGAGAGGGAGAGGAGGUGGAGGGAGAGAAGGUGGAGG